rnacentral:rRNA from 1 species
AUUGAACGCUGGCGGCAGGCCUAACACAUGCAAGUCGAGCGGAUGAAGAGAGCUUGCUCUCUGAUUCAGCGGCGGACGGGUGAGUAAUGCCUAGGAAUCUGCCUGGUAGUGGGGGACAACGUUUCGAAAGGAACGCUAAUACCGCAUACGUCCUACGGGAGAAAGUGGGGGAUCUUCGGACCUCACGCUAUCAGAUGAGCCUAGGUACGAUUAGCUAGUUGGUAAGGUAAAGGCUCACCAAGGCGACGAUCGUUAACUGGUCUGAGAGGAUGAUCAGUCAGACUGGGACUGAGACACGGGCCAGACUCCUACGGGAGGCAGCAGUGGGGAAUAUUGGACAAUGGGCGAAAGCCUGAUCCAGCCAUGCCGCGGGUGUGAAGAAGGUCUUCGGAUUGUAAAGCACUUUAAGUUGGGAGGAAGGGCAGUAAGUUAAUACCUUGCUGUUUUGACGUUACCGACAGAAUAAGCACCGGCUAACUUCGUGCCAGCCGCCGCCGUAACAC